GCCCACUCGGUAAUGCACAUCACUAUAAGCCUUGCAAGCAUUGCAACUAAAUGAGUUAGUUGUGGGAUGAUGCAUUACGAACGAGUAAAGAGACUUGCCGGUAACGAGAUUUAACUAGGUAUUGAGAUACCGAUGAUCGAAUCUCGGCAAGUAACAUACCGAUGACAAAGGGAACAACGUAUAUCGUUAUGCGGUUUGACCAAUAAAGAUCUUCGUAGAAUAUGUGAGAGCCAAUAUGAACGUCCAAGUUCCUCUAUUGGUUAUUAACCAAAGACGUGUCUCGGUCAUGUCUACAUAGUUCUCGAACUCGUAGGGUCCGCACGCUUAACAUUCGGUGACAAUCAGUAUUAUGAGUUUAUGUGUUUUGAUGUACCGAAGGUAGUUCAGAGUCCCAUAUUUGAUCACGGACAUGACGAGGAGUCUCGAAAUGGUCGAGACAUAAAGAUUGAUAUAUUGGACGGCUAUAUUCGGACACCGGAAGUGUUCCGGGUGAUUUCGGAGAAAACCGGAGUGCUGGAGGGUCACCGGAACCCCCCCCCCUCCCCCCAGGGGGAAAGUUGGGCCUUCAUGGGACAUAGGGAAGAGGGAGGAAGCCCACAAGGGGCAGCCGCAUCCCCUCCCUAUAGGGAGUCCGAAUUGGACUAGGGAGGGGGGCACCCCACCCCACCCCCCCCUUUCCUUCUCCUCUUCCUCUCCCUUCCUUCCUUCCCCUUCUCCUCCUAGUAGGACUAGGAAAGGAGGAAUCCUACUCCUACUAGGAGGAGGAUUCCUCCUCCCUUGGCGCGCCACUAGGGUUGGUCGGCCUCCCCCUUGCUCCUUUAUAUUCGGGGGCAGGGGCACCCUAGAACACACAAGUUGAUUGCUUCUAGCCGUGUGUGGUGUCCUCCUCCACCAUAAUCCACCUCGGUCAUAUCGUAGCGGUGCUUAGGCGAAGCCCUGUUCCGGUAGCAUCAUCAUCACCGUCAUCACGCCGUCAUGCUGACCAAGCUCUCCCUCGACACUCUGCUGGAUCGUAAGUUCGUGGGACGUCACCGAGCCGAACGUGUGCAAAUCGCGGGGGUGUCGUACUUUCGGUACUAGGAUCGGUCGAUCGUGAAGACGUACGACUACACCAAUCGCGUUGUCAUAACGCUUCUGCUUACGAUCUAUGAGGUACGUAGACAACACUCUCCCCUCUCGUUGCUAUGCAUCACCAUGAUCUUGCGUGUGUGUAGCAAAAAAAUUGAAACUACUACGUUCGCCAACAAGGGUGCCCUCGGGAACGCGGACACGGGUGGUGCAUGGAUAUUGUCAGCUCGUGUCCAAGGUGUUGGGUUAAGUCUCGCAAUGAGCACAACCCUCAUGUCUAGUUGCCACUAUGAGUUUGGAACCCUGAACAGACCACUAGUGUUAAGCCGGAGGAAGGAGAGGAUGAGGCCAAGUCAUCAUGCCCCUUAUUGCCAUGGGUGACACACGUGCUACAAUGGGCGGGACAAAGGGUCGCGAUCUCGCGAGGGUGAGCUAACUCCAAAAACUAGUCCUCAGUUCAGAUUGCAGGUUGCAACUCUGCUGCAUGAAGCAGGAAUCGCUAGUAAUCACCGGUCAGCCAUAUGGUUGUGAAUCAGUUCCCGGACCUUGUACACACCGCCCGUCACACUAUAGGAGCUGGCCAUGUUUGAAGUCAUUACCCUUAACCGUAUGGAGGGGGAUGCCUAAGGCUAGGCUUGCGACUGGAGUGAAGUCGUAACAAGGUAGCCAUAAUGGAAGGUGCGGCUAGAUCACCUCCUUU
rfam:Triticum urartu cultivar G1812 contig186829, whole genome shotgun sequence.